GUGCUCAUUUUGGCAGCACAUAUACUAAAAUCGGAAUAAUACAGAUAUUCACAUGACCCCUGCACAAGGAUGACAUGCAAAUUUAAGCAUUUCAUAUUAAA
rnacentral:snRNA from 3 species